GCUUGUGCUGGAGACAGUGACACGGCAGAGCCCUGUCACAAACCAACAGGAGGCCCUCAGCUGAGCGUUUCAGAAAGAGCUUAACUGCUGAUGAAUUAUACCAAUUUUUCUUUUAGAAAAGGAUGGAAGUAACAAGAAAAUAGAAAUGAGGAGCUUAAAGAAGGCCAGAAAGCCCAUUAGCACUUUUGACAGAUCCAAAGAUAACUCUGAAGCCACCAAAACGUGGCCUCAAGAGUCUGCCAAGAAGCUUCACGCUGAGGAGAAAUAUGUUACACAGCUUGCCGUCCAAAUAGGGAGACACAGCGUCAGAGACAAAUCCUGUGCCUUAUUUUGGUGGGAGAAAAAAAAUCACAAGGAUACUUUUGUGGAGGGGGAAGGGUGUAUUUCUGAAAUAAGACACCAUUUGACUGAGGCAGACCCCCAUUCCCAGUCAAGAUCGGAGUGACUCAGGUGCUUGAUCCAAAAACUCUACACAGGAUGGUCUGCCAGCCGAGUUUAUUUGUGAAACUGACCUCCUGUGUGGCUGUCAGAAUGGCCUAUCAAAAAUGGAAGUCUGGAUGGAUCUUCCAGAGAGGGUAAAGCUGCACAGGCAGCCAGCGAUGUGCAGCCUGAGGUUUCUUCCCCCAGCCCUUCUUGACUUCCUGGCACUCAACUCCUCUGAUGACAAAAAAGACAAAGUGAACAGGCUUCCAACUUCCGGUGUUCUUGUUGGAGUUGGGGAGACAGUCCAUAAGGGAGCAGAAUGGCAGCCAGUUUUCUUGCUCCAUUACAUAUCUUCACUUCUAUGAUGACCCAGUUCCCAGACAAGCCCCCAUAUGAAAUGGGUUGGUAAAGCUGUCUGCAGUAACCCCUGACCCCCAACACUCUUCUUGAGGAAAAAGAAGAAGAGGAGGAGGAGGAAGAAGAAGAGGAGGAAAAAGAAAGUAAACAAU